rnacentral:rRNA from 1 species
GAGUUUGAUCCUGGCUCAGAUUGAACGCUGGCGGCAUGCCUUACACAUGCAAGUCGAACGGUAGAGUAGCAAUACUCGAGAGUGGCGAACGGGUGAGUAAUAUAUCGGAACGUGCCCAGUCGUGGGGGAUAACGUAGAGAAAUUUACGCUAAUACCGCAUACGAUCUACGGAUGAAAGCGGGGGAUUCGCAAGAACCUCGCGCGAUUGGAGCGGCUGAUAUCAGAUUAGGUUGUUGGUGAGGUAAAAGCUCACCAAGCCGACGAUCUGUAGCUGGUUUGAGAGAACGACCAGCCACACUGGGACUGAGACUCGGCCCAGACUCCUACG